rnacentral:rRNA from 1 species
CCCUUAGAUGUUCUGGGCUGCACACGCGCUACACUGAACGGAUCAGCGCGUUUUCCCUUCCCGAGAGGGACGGGUAACCUGCUGAACCCCGUUCGUGGUAGGGAUCGGGGCUUGCAAUUAUUCCCCGUGAACCAGGAAUGCCCAGUAAGUGCAAGUCAUAAGCUUGCGUUGAUUACGUCCCUGCCCUUUGUACACACCGCCCGUCGCUACUACCGAUUGAACGUUUUAGUGAGGUACUCGGACUGAGCCUCAGAAGAUUCACGUCUUUUGUGCUGCUCGGGAAGAUUCCCAAACUUGAGCGUUUAGAGGAAGUAAAAGUCGUAACA